AGUUGAGACCCUAGCAAAUUACACAGAUGGGUUGAAAGUAAAAAGAUGAAAAAGAUAAACCCUGCAAACACUAUCCAAAAGAAAACAGUUGUGCUUUAUUAAUAUAAAACAAAGUAGACUCUAAGACAAGAAAUAUUACAAGAGAUAUUAUACCUUAUUAAGAGGGCUAACAAUCGUAUACAUUAAAAAAUUAACAUGUACCUAAUAAUACAGGUUCAAAAUAUGUAAAGGAGAACUUGACAGAACUAAAAACAGGGAUAACAUUCCAUUUACAUAGUUAGAGAUUUUAACAACUUCUCUGAGUAACUGAUAGCAAAAGCAUACAAAAACAUCAGUAAGGCUGGGUGCAGUGGCUCACACCUGUAAUCCCAGCACUUUGGGAGGCUGAGGCAGGCAGAUCACGAGGUCAGGAGCUUCCACUAUGAUUGUAAAUUUCCUGUGGCCUCCCCAGCCAUGCUUCCUGUACACGGUGUGGAACCAUGAGCCAAUUAAACCUCUUUUCUUUAUAAAUUAUCCGGUCUCGGGUAGUUCUUUAUAGCAAUGCAAGAACAGACUAAUACAUACACACAGAACAUUUAUCCAAGUAGACCAUGUUUUGGGCCACAAACAAGUCUUCACAAAUUUCAAGGGAUUGAAAUCAAACAGGACAUGUUCUCUAAACAUUGUGGGAUAGAAAAAUAAACUCAAAAGAAAGGAGAGGAAAGAAAAUAAUAAGAAAAAAGCAA
rnacentral:lncRNA from 1 species